GCGCCUCUCGCUGAUGGCGGCCACGCACAACGAGGAAUCGGCGCUGGCCGCGCUCAGGGGGCUGUCCCGGGUCCCGCCCGGCUCCGUUUGCUUCGGGCAACUGCAGGGGAUGGGAGAGCACCUGAGCCUGGCCCUGGGGGCCGGGGGUCUCCCCGUGUACAAGUCGGUGGCUCUGGGUCCCCCGAGGUGACGAUCCCGUACCUGGCGCGGCGAGCGGCCGAGAACCGCGGGGCGCUGGGCGGGGCCAGGAGGAGCGGCAGCUGCUGUGGGCGGAGCUCCGGCGCAGGCUCCGCCCCUGGGCCUGAAUUCCCGAAAUUCCCCCAAAAAAUCCAGAAUUUCUACCCCAAAAAUAAAAAAAUUCCCA